rnacentral:lncRNA from 1 species
CAGAAUCAAAAGGUACUAAUUCAGGAGAUCUGGAACGACACCCUAGCAUACACUAAUACUUUUCUAAUCAGUCAAGUGCGGUCAAGCAUGCAUUAAAAGAAAAAUACUUCAAUUCCUUGUGUUUAUCCUAAAAUCACUAGACAGCUCCUAACUGGUUUGAAGAGGGCACCUAAGCCUCCAAUCCGAUCUAAUGAACUGAGUUGACCAGGUAAGCUCCCAGGUAAGUGGGGGGGUCACGAUGCGUUUGCAAAGGUCCCACUUAAAAACCACUUGCCUCGAACAAAUGAACUGUCUCCCUUACAGGGACAAAGCUUGCCUAGACAUCAACUGAGCCACAGAGCGAAAUUGGUGCAACUUUCGGUGAUCUUCGUCCUAUUGAGCUCGAAUGUCCCUAGGGGCCAACGUCUAAUUAAUUUUAAUUAAAGUGAUAGCUAUGUGAGAAUUGAUUCACCUAAUUUGGGCAAGAAUCUGGUGAUGAAAUCCAGUUCUUAUCUUGUUGGAGUGAUUGCCCUUACUAUGUGCGGAUUAAUUGGUGUAUGUAUAUCAAGCAUGCAUUCACACUUUU